GGAUUUUAGACUUUUCAAGAAGUAUUUAUGAUGGUAUUGUAUCAUGUGACUUGUUCCAUCGACAACCGCGCAUGCGCAGAUCGACGGCACCGAAAAUUGUUUGAGGGACGUUUAUAAAAAUGGUUCUUUAGAAACGGGAUAUACAUUCUUCUAGCACGAUUUUGGCUUUGGGGUUGAUCUUUGUAUAAGAAGAACUAGGUGAUGUUAUACUAAACUACAUGCAAGCUAUGAUCACCUGAUCAGGCGUCAUUGAAAAUAAUGUUGUUGAGCAGCCUUCCCUUAGUUUGGAAGCCAUUGACUCCAUUUGCUUUCACUGUUCCAGAAAAAUACAACACUGUACACCGCUAACAACUUGAUCCAGUAACCUGAUUUUUCUUUAAAAUUGCAGCCACUCCUUUGUACAGUGUCCUCGUUUUAAAACAGUAUCCUCUUUUUAGUCCACAGUCCAAAAAUAAAGAAAAUAAAGACGUGGUCUUUACCUGCUCUCUAGCUUUAGGAAAGGUGAGACAUCAUUUCAAAAAUCUGUUUCAUCUCAAGACAUGUGACGGAGACAGCAAAGUCCCGAAGACUUAAGUCCUGUUAUGACACUGAUACAGACAGCUGAACCAAAUCAACCUUUCUGCAUCUGUAUUUGCAACACAGGAACAUUAAAGCCUUCAAAGACUCUCAAAAUUGACCACAAUCGUUCCGAAACAUUUGAAUAAUGAAUUCCAGUUUGUAUCUUAAACAAAAGCAAUUUGUUAACAAUAGAA